rnacentral:lncRNA from 1 species
UUUUUUUUUGUUAUUUUGAUAUUUUUCUGAUGCUACCAAAAAUCUUACGGGCACUAAUUUGGGCGGCUUCCCUGAGAGCUUGGGCAAUCUUAUCAUUCACAUUUUGCAACUGAGGAAAUAAAGACAAGCUUGCUUAAAAUGUCUUCUGGAGUUCGCUGUCCUUUCCAAGGCACCGAGACCUUGGGUUUUCACAGCGCACAGCAUUAAGUCCUGGCAUCCUCACCCACACCCGUAGCCACCGCUGAGAAGGUCAAGCCCUGUCUGAUGGGCACGACGCUAGGAACAGGCCAUGGUUGAGCAGUCAUUCUCAUGUGACUUAGUCUCAGGACAUUGUCCGGUAUCUGAAUGGGUCCCCUGGCACACACUCAGAGAGACUCGUAUCUAAAUGACAUUUCUUUUUAAGCAAUGAAAGUAUUCUUCCUCUUCCUGCAAUCUCCCGCAUUGUUCCCCUCUCCUUUUCUGCGGCGAAUGUGGGAAGCCUGCCACAGACAACAUCUGAAUUCAGUGCAUAGACCAGCUCCUUCCAGGUACACCAACUGAGGCACUGAUUGUAUUUGAACUGAAAUAGCAUGUGACUGACCAGCCUUAAUUCUGCGUUUCCUAUCUUUGGAGAGUUUGACUUGGCAGUCCUGCCAGUGCUAUUGUGCAAUAACUUAUAAACAUGCUGGUAGAUUAAGUGGAGAAUAUUUGGAGAGGGAUGUGGAUGUGUUUGUGUUCCUGAAGCUAACAGCCCAAACACCCCAUGAGGAUGCGCUGCCUGUCCUUGGACUGUCCAUUUAAAAAACAGCCCCAACUGGAAAUUGAUGCACCCAUUGCAACCUUGUGGGCACAUUGCAGGAGCCAUUUUCUCUCUCAUCCGGAGUGCAAUGAGAGGUGGGAAAGGAAAGGUCACCAUGGUGCAGGGCUCUGCUGGCAUGGAGAAGGCCACGUUGUUAAUGUCAGCGAGGCUUAUUUAGUGUCUGCAGGUAUACCUUCAAAAAUACAUCAGAGGUCAGCCCCGCAGAGCUCCACCACAGGUAUAUCCCACCACAAAUACUGUUGGAGGAUUGCAGACAAAAUCAUACUGAAGGAUAAUGAAGCACUGAGCAGGUUGCGUGGGGCACAAGAUUUACUUUUGUGGUGA